AAUCACGUAGCCUAGGGAGUCACUGUAACUUUGAUUUUUCUGUCAUUUAACUUCUCUAGUAGAUCUAUAUCAACUCUUGUUAUUCCUUGAGGUAGCUGAUCAGUCAGGCUAAAGCGGCAGAGAUACCAUACCCUGGUUGGAUUAAAAUACAUAUUUCCAGAAAGAAGAGUUUAAGAAGAAAUUCCCAACAGGCAAGUAGAGCAGAAAUUCUGCUGUCAGACAAAUGUUUUACAAGAUCUGUUUCCUGGAUCUGAAGAGGCUGCUCUUUCACAAUGGUCUAUAUUUUAGGACUGGAUCAGAAGAUGAAUAUUCAAACUGCCAGCUAUUCUCUAGAGCCUCAGAAGUGAAAACUGAAAGACAUUAUAGCAGGAGUACCAACAACAGAGGAACUAAGUCUUUUAGCAAAGUUCAGUCAACACCGUGCUACUACAAACGAAGCCUUUACGAACGACUAUAACAAUAGUUUUAUUUCAAGAAGAUUGAACUGGCAGAGAUUGCAGAGGCUUGAUAUAACAACAGCAGAAGUCACAACAAAAGGUUGUUCAGGGACUGUCAUCUGCUGAAUGUCCUGCAAGGUACCUCUAACGCAGGAGUCUUGAAUAAUAUUAUCCAGGAACUACCUAUGCUCUUUCCUUACUGAUCAGAAAAAGUAUUUCCUUCCAGAAGAGCUUACGUAAUUGAAGACAGUUUUUUGGGUUAGGGUUUUUUUUUAAUUAUUUUUUUAUUUUCCCUUCUUUUAGAAUAAGAUAUGUAGAUCUGCUGCCAUCAAGAGUAACAUUUUCAAACACCUUUGACAGCAGAAGUGAACGCUUGAAUUUCCCUGUGGGAUUUUCAGCAAAUCUUGCUCCCACUGAGAUGCCCUUCACAUGUGAUAGGAAGACACAUGUAAUGACGUCUUUUAUGGCAAAUUUGGACCUUCUUAGUUCCAUGAACUACUUACACUACAUUACCAAAAACUGUGAUGUACAUGCCAAAGUGUUCCAUCCAAAAUAUAUUCAGAUGUUUGGGGUCAAUAACUUCUACAGAAAGCAUCUGAGCUUUUGUAAGGUGCAUCCUCAAAAUAUUCUUUAAAUUUGGGAAGGGCUUCUUAGUUUCCUGUAUGUAAAGUACCCAAAACAUUCAGCUACUUGGAAUCACUGAUCAAAUCUGAAAACUACACUUCCUGGGAUUUGGGAAAGCCAUUUGAUGAGAAUUGAGCCUCACUAUUAAAUUUUGGCCUGAUGUAAGAAAGGGUAUGCAUUUCUGAUCAGAUAUUUUACAUCAGAAAUAUUUGGAGAAAGACAUAGAUGGUCAGACUUGUAGGCUAACCAUUGUUCAUCAAAUGCAUUGACUCCCUAUAUUUAAUAGAAACUUUGCACUGAUCAAACCCAAACUUCAUGAGAGACCCUACGCUGUAAUCAGUCUCCAAUUCAAUGACAUACUCAAGCACAUUUUGAACUUUAAAUACAUGUGAUAAGCAAAAUGAGAAGAAACCCAAGAAGAAAUAAAACUGCUGCAAUGAUAUUUAUAGAUGCCUAUCUCAAGUAAAUUAUGUCUUACAUGCAAGCAGAAACACGUGAAACAAGUAUUUCAUUUAUAUGAAUCCGCUUCAUAUUGAAACUCCUCUGCAAACUGUUUUUUUAAUUUCUCUUAAACGUCUGUCAAAUCAUGUUUGUGAAAGAAGUGCACUUUCUGGAUCAUAUAUAGAAUAAAUGAAAAAUAUUUACCUUUUUAAUACAUAAUCUUAAUUAUUGCACUGAUGGGAGGUUUUUGAAUAUGAUAAAUAAUUGUGUUGAUGAUGUUAAGGACAUAAAAAUCAUGUUUUCUUUUAUCUUUCAUCUGAUGUAUUUUCAGAAUUUUCAUAGAAAGAAAAAAAAGAGUGAUUUAAUGCUUAAGUUAUUCAUGUAGUACAUGAGAGAAACAAGGUUUUGUCUUUGAUUCACAUUAUGCAGUUCAAGCAUUCAAACCUAUGAACAUCAAUGCAAUUGAAACAAAUAGAAGACUCUUCCAUCUUUCUCCUCAGAAGCCACCACAGAAUCUCUGAACCAUAAAAAUUCCAGCAAAUUUUUUUGCCUAUGUGAAUUAUACUAU